UACGUAGGGCGCAAGCGUUGUCCGGAAUUAUUGGGCGUAAAGAGCUCGUAGGCGGCUUUGUCACGUCGGAUGUGAAAGCCCGAGGCUUAACCUCGGGUCUGCAUUCGAUACGGGCUAGCUAGAGUGUGGUAGGGGAGAUCGGAAUUCCUGGUGUAGCGGUGAAAUGCGCAGAUAUCAGGAGGAACACCGGUGGCGAAGGCGGAUCUCUGGGCCAUUACUGACGCUGAGGAGCGAAAGCGUGGGGAGCGAACAGG
rnacentral:rRNA from 1 species